rnacentral:rRNA from 1 species
GACGAACGCUGGCGGCGUGCUUAACACAUGCAAGUCGAGCGGUAAGGCCCUUUCGGGGGUACGACGAGCGGCGAACGGGUAGAGUAACACGUGGGUGGACCUGCCCUCCAGCUCUGGGAUAAGCCUGGGAAACCGGGGUCUAAUACUGGAUAUGACUCCAUGACGCAUGUUGUGGGGUGGAAAGCCUUGUGCGGCUGAGGAUGGGCCCGCGGCCUAUCAGCUUGUUGGUGGGGGGA